UUCCCUGUAGCUCAGUUGGUAGAGCAUGGUGUUUGCAACGCCAGGGUUGUGGGUUCGAUUCCCACAGGGGGGC
rfam:Salmo salar isolate Sally breed double haploid chromosome ssa19, whole genome shotgun sequence.